rnacentral:rRNA from 1 species
ACUCCCUACGGGACGCAGCAGUGAGGAAUAUUGGUCAAUGGCCGAGAGGCUGAACCAGCCAAGUCGCGUGAGGGAUGACGGCCCUACGGGUUGUAAACCUCUUUUGUCGGGGAGCAAGACCCGCCUCGUGCAGGCGGAGCGAGAGUACCCGAAGAAAAAGCAUCGGCUAACUCCGUGCCAGCAGCCGCGGUAAUACGGAGGAUGCGAGCGUUAUCCGGAUUUAUUGGGCGUAAAGGGAACGCAGGCGGUCUUUUAAGUCUGAUGUGAAAGGC